rnacentral:lncRNA from 1 species
UUCUCGGUUAGUAAAAAGAGUGCUGAGGCUAAGAAAUACAUUUAUUCCAGAUGUCCAGCUAGAAAUCAGGAGUUCUAUUGCUAAGGAAGAAGUCAGGGAGCAACUUGCAGGCUCUGCUGCAACACUUCAUCCAAUGAUGCAGAUAUCAACCUAAUUUCAUUUCAAAUUCAAAUUAUUUUAACAAUAGAACUGAAUUUUGUAAAGCGUUAUAAUAAGUUAAAUGCUUACACAACUUUACUGAGCAGUAGUGAGAGGUCGUUUCAUACACUGUCUCACUAGAUUUUCACCAUAGUUCAUAGGCUUGCUUUAAUACAGUUAAAAAGCUGAGAGAUUUUAAAGGUAUUUCCUUUGAUCUGAGGGUUAAAACCAGAAAAAAAUUCCAGUGCUUUUCAAACUCUACUAUUAUUUCUUAAAACAAAACAAAACAAAACAAAACAAAAAAACCCCACAGAUACUGCCUGAUUUAUUAUGUGAUUGGAUUGAAUGGCUAAAAUUUACUGAGUAUUUACCACAUGCCAAGCACUGCUGUACCAAGCAGAAGGUUAGCAUAUUAUCCAGUUUCUCAUUUCAUCCUCUUACUAUGUGAAAUACAUGUUAUUUUCUCCAUUUUGUUACUGACAAAGAGUUUAAACAAUUUACCCAAGGUCCCAUAGCUAAUAAACAGAGUUCAACUCAAGGUGGUAAGACAUUAGGGCAGGUACUGCAAAAUAUACACAAAGUUGCUUUUGGAAGGAAGAUAAAUAGAAAGCAGAUAAAAGCUUAGACACUGCCAUAAUUUGUUUUAGUGGUUGGGAAAGCAUAAAUCAGGGAUGUUACCAUAACAAAAAUACUUACUUUACAUGAAGAAGUGUAUAUACAAUAUAAAAAAUAGUUUAAGCAAAAACAAUUUUUAUGCUGCAAAAAUAUUGAAGGAUGAAUUUCAAUAAGUUCUUUUUGAAUAUAAUUUGUUACUACGGAAAAUGAGCAUCAAGGAUCAUGUGUAUUGUCACCCUAAAGAUGACAGGCAUUCAACUUUAUAUAAUAACUAUGUCUUUAUAAAAGUCUUCUUUGUAAUAGCCAUUUCAUGACCUAGAUUUAUGCUCUACAAAAAUUGAGAACUGACAGUUAAAUCAGACAUUUUUGUUGAGAAUUCUGAUUUCUUAAAAUAAUUCAACUUCAUUUCUACAAAGCAAGUUUAAAUAUUCUGACUUAUUUUAGUUUUUUUUAAUGAUUAAGAAAAUCUUCAAGUAUCUUAUUGUGAUCUAAGUGUAGAAAAAAAAAAACUCACAAUGCAGAUCAGAGCAAAUAUUUCAUUCAAAGGGGGGAAAAGUCAAUGUAACAGCACUCUGAGAAUAGUAAAAUGCUUAGUUUCCAUGGAAUGUGUUUGACAGUAAGAUUUUUAAAAGAUCUAAGAGGCUGACCUUUCUCCCUCCCCACAACUAAGUAGACUUUUUAAAAUGAGCACAUCUGGUUUAUGUUCCCAAACCUCUGGCCUUUAAAAGCUUUGUUCCCAAUUCACACAAAAUACCAUUCAGGAUUGCUUGACAUAGUGACCCUUCCCUGUAGGUGGUUAGGCAAAUAAAGUGAUUAAAUAGAAUCAGGAAUUUAACAUGUACGUAGCAAGUUAACAUUUGCAUCCUGAAAGGAUUUGUAAACAGUUACUGUUUAUGGCCAUAUCUUAAGCAAUUUUACUUUUUUGAAGUUCUAAUUAUAAACCGUUGUUUUUCAAGAACCAAAAUUGUGGUUUUUUUUUUUAAAUAGUUAUAUUGGCACUAUUAUCUUGUAAUUUAGAACAAAGCACAUAGUGUUAAAAAACUAGGGUUUUUGCUUUAUAUCAAAGCACCAAUGCUGUCACUAGAAAAGAAAAGAGGGAAAAAAGCUACUGAAAGGGUAGUCAGGUUGGAUCCAUAAAUCCAGAUGGCCGUUCAACAUUUAACAAACUCUUUGGUACUCAAUUGAGUUAAACAUUAAAUGGUGCAUUGGCAGGGAAGAUUUCAUUUCUAUGAGGUCCACUAAUAAAAUGCUCAGAGUUAUUUGUGUAGAGUGUAAUUCCUUCUGACUCUGCCUUCUAUUUGCCUUGAGGACAUACCAGUUUAAAAAUGUUCAGCACACUAUACCAUGCAUAACAGGUAAUCUGCCUAAUUAAGUCCUAUAAGGAUGUUCUAAGUAAAAAGCUGAAGAGCCCUGGUAACCUCUGCUUCACCCUCCCUAUGCACCAGAGCUUCUGAGAUUGAGAAACCCCAGCCAUUAACUCAAGUGUUUACACUUGAAGCUCAAAUUCUACUUUGCCAGAAUGGCUCAUUUCACAUUUUACAAAUCUGUUUUCUCAUUUGUAGGCAGAAAGAAUCUGUCAAUUUUUUAUAUUAUAAUUCUCCACUUGUUCUGAUAGUGAAUGAUCUAACUCAUAACUGUAAUUCAUAUUGCAAACAUCACACUGUGGCUGGGACUGCUAUAUUCAGAGACCUAAUAAUAUUUAUAUCCGUAUUUUGAGUGCAUUCAUUUGGUAUAUUUCAAUGAAUUAUUAAUUAUGACCAACAAUAAAAUAUUAUUUUGCUCAGAUGCACAGCAAUAGGAAAGAUGCCCAAGAGAAAUUUAUCUGACAGCUCGAAACAAAAUGGCCAAAAUCCACUCAUAGGUUACUCAUCCAACACAGCAUGAAGUGUAUUUGGCCAUCAAAUGCACUCAGUGAAUGUUUUUCUCAACUUGUCAAUGUUUUAUCAAGAGAAUAAAAGCCAAACUUUAGGAUUCAGAAAAAGAAACCUCAAUCUAGUGAUUAAAAAUCAACUAUGAGAGGUGAAUGAUAAGCUUUUUGGAAAGCUCCUCAAUUGUAUUAGAAAUUGGUAACAAUAAUUUUUAAUUUAACUAACAUCAUUAAAGCUAAAAACAUUUUACUGUGUAACCAAAGUGCAUAUUUUAUUUCUAUUGAUGCAAAAUACAUACCACCUUUCAUUAUACUCCCUUAGAAUUGUCUUUGAUCUACUCAUUAAAAUCCUAAAAAACUUCGUACUAAUCACUGACUCAUCUUUUUCUUUUUUUUUUUUUUCUGUACACAUUGGACUGAUGGGCAAAUCAGUCCUACUUAUUUAUUCUAUGUCCAUCUUUCAAGCUUGUUUCUUCUUUAUCAUUAGAUAGACUGCUUCAAACCUGGCUAUUAUAGGAUUUUUUUUUUUUUUCUCAACUGUACAAAUAGCUCAGUAAUAAACCCUGAAGUCUGUUGGCUGGCAGCUGUCUGAGAGAUAUUUCAGAUAUCCACUAGUGUACCAGCUGGUUACCGGUAGAAUUCCUCAGGCUGCUUCCAUUGAGUUGCCAGUGUCUAAUGACUCAUCAUUAGCUUCCCAGGUCCAGAAAGAAGCAAACUGUAAACACCUAGAGACAAUAGGCCCUAUAAAGAGCUGAUAUUAGUCAGCUAAACAUAUGCAAAUUUGAUUUUACAGCCAACUAAUUGGAAGCAGACUGUAUCCAGAGGAGCUAGAUUUAAUUUCUUGCUGUGUAGGGACCUGGGGGGAAGUUAGUUAAUUCUUAUGCCUCUGUUUCUUCAUCUUAAACAAUAACACUUACCACGUAGGUCCAUUCAAGAAGAUUGAGAAAAUGCUUGUGGAAUGUUACAAUACCAGGUACAUAGACAUAGGUGGUGCUAACACCAGGAUAAUUAUUGUAGUUAGGUCAACUCAAAGUUUUAGAAUCAAGCUUUAUGUCAAAAUAGUUCUCUCUUGUCAUGACUUAGAUUAUAUAGGCCAUUAUACCAUUUUUAAAUUUCCACAAAACACUCAUGGUUUUGGUGUCUGUACUUCAAAACAGGUAUGAUAUAUUUUCUAAUUAUUUCGAACUACUUAAUUUUAUUUUUCUUCCUCAUUUGCAUAAUCUCAUAUAAAAGUCUUAGAAUGAGAUUGCAAUUGAUGUUUUUUUUUUUAACUUUUAAAAAUGUUUUAGAAUUAUUUGCCUUUUUAAAGUGUGAGUUUUCACAUAAAAAUCUGAAUUUUUACCUUCUCUUAAAAAAUCCACAGUUAGAUAGUAUUGGGCUUAUGUUCGCUCAUGGCAAAAAUCAGUUGGACCUGGGUAAUGGUUUCCUGCUUUUAGCAGUUUAUCCAUCAUAAUUCAAGCUGCUUCCCACAUAGCUGUUACCUGUGUGCCCCUUACAGGCAUCUAACCUUGUGUUUUCUGACUCAGAAUCCUGUCCUAAGGCUGAAUUAUAAGUCGAAAAUUGCUUGUGUACUAGAUUUUACCUUCCUGUUUUCCUCCUUAUUUUGAAGAGAAAUUCUGGCAUUACUUAACUCAGUCCUGUCUAGACAUGAAACUUUUAUAACUAAGCCCUCUUAACUUCCCAUAAAGGACUUUUAUUUUAGCCUCUAUAUGACACACACACACACACACACACACAAACAUAUAUAUGUACUCAGGUAUGUAUAUGUAUAUUAUCUUUAGCAUAUUAAAUGCUAUCUAUAGAAUAUCUGCAUAUUGUCAAAGGUGAUGAAAUUUGAAGAAAGACAAAUACAAUUCAGGGCCUGAUCUUAAUGGGGAGGAAGGAAAGUUUGAAAUACAAUUUUAAUUCAAGGCCAAAUGUGAUGUGACACAUCAGUAAUGACAACAAGACAAAAACACUGGAAGCACAGGGAAAAAGCUCAUGUUAUCAUGAAGGAAGGUAGUUGGAAAGAAUGACAUUUAAGCCAGGCCUCAAAAAGUUGGCAUUCCUUUGGAGAGAAGCAUAUAAAGGGGCAGGCAGGGGAAAGGGAAUGGCAGAUAAAAAGUACAGAAAGUCAUACAUGCAAGAGAUGACUGGGAUUUUGAAGAUCAAGAUGUGAUGAGGAAACAGGUAGAGGAUAGUGGAAGCUAACUGUGUUAAGAAUAUUGCAACCAGGGGGUUCCCUUGUGGUGUAGUAGGUUAAGGGGUCCAGGAUUGUCACUGCAUUGGCUUGGGUUGCUGUUGUGACACUAGUUCAGUCCCUGGCCAAAAAAAAAAAAAAAAAAAAAAAAAAAUAUUGCAACCAGAAUGGCCAUUUGCUUAACUUCUAGGGCAAAGAGGACUUGAUUUGGAAGGAACUAGGUAACCACUAAGGCAGGUUUUGGAACAAAUUAAUUACAUGACAUGAGUUUCAUUCUAACUUUUCAAAAGAUUCUACAAGGAUAAGGUAUCAAUUAAUAAAGGUAACUUAACCUUGUCCAAUACAAAUUUCUACUGAUUUCAGGGACAAACCUACACUACCCAGCAUUGGCAAGAUGGUCAUCCCUCUCUAGCUAUGAGAACCUGGAAAAGGUAAAAACUGUGGAAUGUGACGACAGGCAUAACCUUAAAAACCGGUUUCCAGUUUUGUUCUGUAAUUUACAAGAUCUGUAAUAGGAAUUCAUUUUAAUGUCCAUGCUGGACAUGAGUGCCACACACUUCAGUUCCAGAUUAGAUGCCAGUCAUCCUUUGCUACAGCAGAGCAGACAAGGCAUGUCAGCAAGCCUUUUCAAAACUGAUGUCCUCCAUCAUUUGUCUUUUAAUUAUCUGACUUCCAAUUCAUCCUGUUUACAGAAACUUUUAAAGUGUUGUGAUGAUGUAUUAAUGUGUAUCCCUCUUUAUUAUGUAAAAACCAUCUCCUUUUUCGAGAUCACAGAAAAUAUUACUAUUCAUCCAUUUUUAUCUCUCUGGCAUUAGAAUUUGUAGGCUCAAUAUUACUAAUGAAUAUUCCACUAAAAGUAAACAGACUUCUGUUACUUUCAAGGUUACCAUAAGGGGUUUUUUCCCAACUUGCUAUGAACAAGUAAUACUAGCAUAACUGGGUUUUGUUGCUUUUUUAUUAUAAGUGAAAAAGACUAAAGAGUAAAAUUGGGAAGUGAGACAUUCUAACAGUGGCUCAUAUAUGUAACUCCAGAUGUCUUUAUUAUCCUUGACUUACAUCCAUUUUUUUAAAUUCUAAUAUCAGAAUAUAAAAUAAUUUUUAUUUUUGGAUAAUACAUAUUUUCAAAUUACUUGAAAAAUAAUUACAUGCCCUUGAUAUCUUUGUUUAAUGUCAUCUGGAUAAUCCAUGUGUUAGUUCUGCUUUACAUGUGAGAUUAUUUUAUAAUAAGACUUCAUGAUUGAGAUCUUAAAGAAAUUCACCUUAUAUCAACAUUUUAGAAGAAAAGCAAUGAUUCCUUUAUAAUUCAAAAUAUUCAGAUAUUCGGCCUUCUUCAUUCUAACCCCCACCAUUGACCAACUAGGGUUAUCAUAAUUUU